UCAAGACUGGAUGCCUUUCUGGAAGAUAUACUUUAGUGAAACAGGAGUUAUUGGACGCAAUGCUGGGGUGACAUAGUGAAAUUUAAUGGCCUGUGAUAUCCAGGGGCUCAGGCUAGAUGCACUAAUGAUCCCUUUCAGCUUUAAAGUCUGUUAAUUCAGAAAAAAUGGUAUGUAUCUUCAGGUCUCAGAUGCAAUGGUGAUGGGGAACUUCGUUGGCCCCUUUACCGCAGUAUCUGAGAACCCUACGUUUUUAAAUGUAUUUAUCCUUCGGUAUAGAUACUAGCUAUGCUGCCAGGAGGGUCUGUCCCAUCAGCGUUGGCAAUCCACCUCCCUGAAAGGCAGGAGCUAAGUCGACAGGAAACCUUCGUGAUCAUCUCAUCUCUCCUGCGUAGCACCAGCCAGAGAAUUUGCCACAAAGCUUCGCUACCCUCACUGUUACACAUGCAUGCCUUAUUUUAGUUUGAAUUUGUCUGGCUUCUUCUCCCAGCCAUUGGAUCUUGUUAUGCCUCAUUGAUAGGACGGCACAGUGUGGAGAUGCCUCCGCCCAGAUUGGGCCUCCGUUGUGCCAGGUGCUGUACAAACAUACAACAAGAGACAGUCCCUACCCCAAAGGACUUACGGAGAACUGAUUGCUCUCCAUAAAUACAUUAGGGGCUGAACAAUAGGGCGGCAGAAGAGUUAUGGAAGCUGAAGGACAAUGUUGGUGUCAUGGAGUCCCUGGGUGAUGCUCCGGAACUGCUCCCUACAAAGCCAGGCAGGACUCUGGUGAAGUCUCCUCUCUGUGAGCAGACUGCCUUCAGGGCAAAAAGCUUACACGGCUUCCACCUUUCUGGGUCUGAUCUCAGAACAUUUAGCAUCCUCUGCCCCUCUGUGCGCUUCCCACAGCGAGUCUGCCCAGGAGGGGUCCUGGGAAGCCAGAGGGUCCUGCACCCCAACUUUGCAGUCAGACGUGACUUUUAGCCAGCCAGUAAAACAGAGGUUUAUUAGAUGACAGGAACAUGGUCUAAGACAGAGCUUGUAGGUACAGAGAACAGGACCCCUCAGCCGGGUUCAUUUUGGGGGGCAGUGAGCCAGACAACCACGUCUGCACUUUACUUCUUGUUCCCAGCCAGCCCCAAACUGACUCACCCUCCAGCCCCUCCUCCUCUCCUGGGCUUUGUCCCUUUUCCGGGCCAGGAAGUCACUUGAUUCCUUUGUUCUCCAACCCUUUAGCUCUCACCUUGCAGGGAUGAAGGGCCCAGGCCAUCAGUUGCCAGGAGACAGAGUGUCGGCCAUUUAUGUACCCUGGCCCUUUGCUCUGCAACAAUUACACUCCCUUAUCCCACCACCUAGAGACUUAAGAAAUGCAUAGGGGAAACUGAGGCACCCCUACAGUAUUUAGAGGAAACAUUAAGAACGUCCCACUUUGUCACAGUUGGUACAGGAACAAAUGGGGAUAAAUGGGCCAUGGGUAAACUGAGGCUGGACAUGAGAAGGACCCUCAGGGAAGGGAGGUUCUGAAAUAGCCACCAAAUAGGAGGAGUGGGGGGAAAACAGGCUAACUGCUUUGAAGAUGGAGUUUAAUAGUUUCUGAAAGGAAUUAUAUGAUGGGAUUGUCUUCACUAGCAAGGGCUAGACUCAGUGACCCAAUGGGUCACUUCCAAUCUAUUGGACUUUGGGUCAGUAACAUUUUGCUUUUAAACCAUCCAAAGACCUUAAUGUGGGGCCACGUUGCCAGGAGACCGUCUCUUCAAUCAGAAGAGCAGAUGGGGGAGGGGGACCCAUAAAAUGCUUCUUCAGCACAAUUAUUCUUCGGGGCAGAAAGUUUGCAGAUGGGGCCUCCUUGAAGCAGGGGAGCUAUGCACCACUAGCCACUUACUGAGUACUUGGAGAGGCCCCUUUGGCCCAGUGGCUAAUCGGCUACUGUUGCUUGUGCCUCAUUAAUUACACUUCAACUUACAUUAAAAUACUGAUUUUAAUCAUACGCCUGUUUUGAAUUUUAUCAUUUUGCUUCAUUUUCUUUCAACAUUUAUAUUCUAGUAAAAUACUAAUUUUAAUCUUAUAUUUAUAUAUACAAAUAUUUUUGUCAGCAUUCCUUCCAUUUGUUUGCUAUUCUAUUACAAUUAAUAUUUUAAUAUUAUAUGUUCACAUAGGUUAUCCAAUCUAUUAUAUUUAACGCUUUACUGUCAUAUAAACGUCAACAAAAUGACACCGCAACAAAAUGUUUUUAUCUCACUGAAAUGAUUCGCUGCUGUCACCGUGAUGGUUCUGAAUGGAAAUUCUUCUGAAUUUUUCGGCCGUGAGAAAUCUUAAAAUUUUGGCUUUUCGUUCAGUUUGGAAUGGGGAAAAUAGAAACGUCAGAUUUCCUGCAGGAUGGAAUUCCCAGUUUCUGACCAUCCUGACUCACCAGCAACACCUGCUGUAAGGCAGGCCACAAAAUACACUGUAUAGAGGCCCAGCUAUGAAAAUGCCUCUUGCGAUCUGGAUUCACUGCAAACAUGAGGAAGCCUUCCUGCUGGGUAAGACACUACGCUAAGCCUGGAGAGGCGGAUUCAGUUCCCAGCUCUUCCACACUUUCCCUGUGUCAACUUGGGACUCCAUAAACCUAUGACUCACUUUCCCCAGCCUUCCUGACUGCUUGUUGUGGGAUAAAUUCAUUGACAUUUAUGAGGUGCCUAGAUAACGUGGCGAAGGAGGCCAUGUAGGAGGAGGCCCAUCUGGCCUCUGGUGAACGUGAGAACAGCUUCAACUCAGCUUCCCCAUAAUCAGGGGAAUACACAUGAUGGGGUGGGUGUGAAAGUGGCAGGUUCCACACAUAGAGGUCAGAGGACUAGUGGUGAAAUCCGACCUGGGCAGCUUUCUGUUCCCUUUGCUGGUGACGUGACCUGUUUGCUUGUUGCUAUAAACAUUAAGGGUCCAGGUUCCCAGGUAGUGUAAAUCGGCCACCACUCUAUGGGGCCAGAUCCCAGCUGGGGUAAAUCAGCAAUAGCUCCAUUGAAAUGAAAAGUGGUAAACUGAUUUACACCAGCUGAAGAGCUGUCUUGAAAACCUAGCUAACUUGACCUACAUUUUUUUCACCGAAUCACUCCCCCGGUCUUUUCAUACAUGUCUUCGAUUCACAAUAACACAGCCUAAACCCACCUUGAUCCAAGCCCCGGCUCCAGCCCACUGAGAAUAGACAUUUGGAAUGGAGAGUGUUUGGAUUUCAUCAUCUCUUUGGCAUAUCACCAACUUCUCUGCGCAGAGACGUUUCCCUGUGGGGGAACAGCACACUGGCACACCAGGAACAAUGAUGCAAGAUUGCAGCCACUUGCACCGGGAUUUAUUAAAACACGAGUCGUCCCCAGCCAUUUCAUGAUGGGAAGCGUAAAUAAACAUCAAGGGGAUGAGCAAGGCCUUUGGAGACUCCCAGAGAAGCAGCCAGCAAAUUAGCUACAUCAGGGGCUAUUAAAAGUUUCUUGUAUGAAAUUGCAGUUACACGCCAAGUGGUGGUUAUAAUGGCCCUGGGGAAGUUCCACUCUGAUUGGUCUCCAUGGGACUGACUUUUCUUAGUCACAUGUUGCCUUGUGCAAGCUCCGUGAAAGGGUAUGUCUACACUUACCGAGAAUCGACGCUGUGGCAAUCGAUGCACCGGAGGUCAAUUUAGCGGGUCUAGUGAAGUCCCGCUAAAUCGACCGCAGAUAGCUCUCCUGUCGACUCCAGUACUCCACAUGAACGAGAAGUGUAAGGUAUGUCGACAGGAGAGUUUCUCACAUCAACCCAGCGCGAUGUAGACACCGCAGUAAGUCAACCUGUAGCUGGAGUUGCGUAACUUAGGUUUACUUAACCCCAUAGUGUAGACCUGCCCAAAGCUCGAAAGCUUAUCUCUCACCAACAGAAGUUGGUUUAAUCAAAGAUAUUACCUCAAGCAUCUUCUCCCGCUAGUAAAAAUUAUGCCAGUUGGGGGAGGGGCAUGGCGUGAUUUUUUAAAACUGAAAUAGCGAUCCCAGUGCAACCCCUGGUGUGCGUGCAGUUAGACAGGUAUAAAGAUGCAUUAUGCCAUUAUAGCUUAUUUCCCUUCCAAUGUGGGUAUAAGAACCUUUAUACUGCUUUAAUUACACCAGUCCUGG